rnacentral:rRNA from 1 species
UACGUAGGUGGCAAGCGUUGUCCGGAAUUACUGGGUGUAAAGGGAGCGUAGGCGGGACUGCAAGUCAGAAGUGAAAAUUAUGGGCUCAACUCAUAACCUGCUUUUGAAACUGCAGAUCUUGAGUGAAGUAGAGGCAAGCGGAAUUCCCAGUGUAGCGGUGAAAUGCGUAGAUAUUGGGAGGAACACUAGAGGCGAAGGCGGCUUGCUGGGCUCUUACUGACGCUGAGGCUCGAAAGCGUGGGGAGCAAAC